rnacentral:rRNA from 1 species
GACGAACGCUGGCGGCGUGCUUAACACAUGCAAGUCGAACGGAAAGGCCCUGCUUUUGUGGGGUGCUCGAGUGGCGAACGGGUGAGUAACAUGUGAGUAACCUGCCCUUGACUUUGGGAUAACUUCAGGAAACUGGGGCUAAUACCGGAUAGGAGCUCCUGCUGCAUGGUGGGGGUUGGAAAGUUUCGGCGGUUGGGGAUGGACUCGCGGCUUAUCAGCUUGUUGGUGGGGUAGUGGCUUACCAAGGCUUUGACGGGUAGCCGGCCUGAGAGGGUGACCGGCCACAUUGGGACUGAGAUACGGCCCAGACUCCUACGGGAGGCAGCAGUGGGGAAUAUUGCACAAUGGGCGGAAGCCUGAUGCAGCAACGCCGCGUGCGGGAUGACGGCCUUCGUGUUGUAAACCGCUUUCGCCUGUGACGAAGCGUGAGUGACGGUAAUGGGUAAAGAAGCACCGGCUAACUACGUG